CCAUUUUGUAGGUGUAUGUGGUCUAUGUUCAGCGGAUCCUGUUUCAUCCAGACCUGCUCCAUUUUGUAGGUGUAUGUGGUCUAUGUUCAGCGGAUCCUGUUUCAUCCAGACCUGCUCCAUUUUGUAGGUGUAUGUGGUCUAUGUUCAGCGGAUCCUGUUUCAUCCAGACCUGCUCCAUUUUGUAGGUGUAUGUGGUCUAUGUUCAGCGGAUCCUGUUUCAUCCAGACCUGGUCCAUUUUGUAGGUGUAUGUGGUCUAUGUUCAGCGGAUCCUGUUUCAUCCAGACCUGCUCCAUUUUGUAGGUGUAUGUGGUCUAUGUUCAGCGGAUCCUGUUUCAUCCAGACCUGCUCCAUUUUGUAGGUGUAUGUGGUCUAUGUUCAGCGGAUCCUGUUUCAUCCAGACCUGCUCCAUUUUGUAGGUGUAUGUGGUCUAUGUUCAGCGGAUCCUGUUUCAUCCAGACCUGCUCCAUUUUGUAGGUGUAUGUGGUCUAUGUUCAGCGGAUCCUGUUUCAUCCAGACCUGGUCCAUUUUGUAGGUCUAUGUGGUCUAUGUUCAGCGGAUCCUGUUUCAUCCAGACCUGCUCCAUUUUGUAGGUGUAUGUGUUCUAUGUUCAGCAGAUCCUGUUUCAUACAGACCUGCUCCAUUUUGUAGGUGUAUGUGGUCUAUGUUCAGCGGAUCCUGUUUCAUCCAGACCUGCUCCAUUUUGUAGGUGUAUGUGGUCUAUGUUCAGCGGAUCCUGUUUCAUCCAGACCUGGUCCAUUUUGUAGGUGUAUGUGGUCUAUGUUCAGCGGAUCCUGUUUCAUCCAGACCUGCUCCAUUUUGUAGGUGUAUGUGGUCUAUGUUCAGCGGAUCCUGUUUCAUCCAGACCUGCUCCAUUUUGUAGGUGUAUGUGGUCUAUGUUCAGCGGAUCCUGUUUCAUCCAGACCUGGUCCAUUUUGUAGGUGUAUGUGGUCUAUGUUCAGCGGAUCCCGUUUCAUCCAGACCUGCUCCAUUUUGUAGGUGUAUGUGGUCUAUGUUCAGCGGAUCCUGUUUCAUCCAGACCUGGUCCAUUUUGUA